rnacentral:tRNA from 1 species
GGAGACGUGGCCGAGUGGCUGAAGGCGGCAGGUUGCUAACUUGUUGUACGGAUUAAACCGUACCGGAGGUUCGAAUCCUCUCGUCUCCGCCA